UCCUUAUCAAGAGUGGUGGAGGGACUGGCCCUGUGAAACCCGGCAACCGCUGUCUAUGACAGAAUGGUGCUAAAUCCUUAAGAGCAUGUUCGUGCUCUUGAAGAUAAGGA
rfam:Bacillus licheniformis ATCC 14580, complete genome.